rnacentral:lncRNA from 1 species
UGCCUUCUUGUUAUUCGAGCGGUCUUGUGUAUACAAAACGCGCGUAUGUCGUACAUAAUUUAAAACCUGGUAUAUAUGAUGAUUUUAUUUAAAUGGAAAACAUCGAAGCCAAAUUCUCUAAAGUUCCAAGAAAAAUAAAAUUUGUAAAUUAUGAAACGAGACAACCACUGAUAAAAUGCAGGGACGGUUGUCAUUUAAAACGUACUGUGAAAGUCAGUUUUAAAUUAUUAAAUAUAUAAUGUAAGUGUUAACUGCAUUGUUUUCUCAAAUGGAACUAAGUGGUAAUUUCACCCAUCUCAAAAGUCUUUUAUUGAUUUAUGAUAGACAAAACAGGUCAAAUAAAAUGAAGAAAGGGAAUGUGUCAACAAGACUACAACCCGACCAUAGAACAGACAACAGCAGAAGGUCACAGUGCAGAAGAAAUUCCAAAAUAUAAAGAAUAGGAAAAAAUGAGGGAAAAUAUUAAAGGAUAUAAAGCAAAAUUGGUUUCUUAAAUAGAUAUCUAUGUUUAAAAAAGGAAGAGAAUAAUGAACAAAAAGAGAAGAAAAGAGAAAAGUGACAUAUAAACAAUUAAAGAACACAAAAAUGAAUUACCCUUCCUCAAACAAAUCAAGAUCACAAUACAUAUAAAUAACAUUUUAAAUAAUAUGUUAUAUAACUUUAAAGCCAGACGUUUGACAGUUAUUGCCAAUCCAAUCUAUAAUCAUAUGACCUGAAAAUACAUUUAAAAUUGUAACAAUAGCCAUUAUCAAAAGGAUC